UACGUAGGUGGCAAGCGUUGUCCGGAAUUACUGGGCGUAAAGAGCGCGCAGGCGGCUGGUCAAGUCCGAAUGUGAAAGCUUCCGGCUUAACUGGGAAAUUGCAUCGGAAACUGAUCGGCUUGAAGGUGGGAGAGGGUAGUGGAAUUCCCGGUGUAGUGGUGAAAUGCGUAGAUAUCGGGAGGAACACCCGUGGCUAAGGCGGCUCUCUAGUACGGUACUGACGCUGAGACGCGAAAGCGUGGGGAGCGAACAGG
rnacentral:rRNA from 1 species